rnacentral:tRNA from 1 species
GCGGGAUUAGUAUAGUGGUAGUACACUACCUUCCCAAGGUAGAAAUGCCAGUUCGAUUCUGGUAUCCCGCU